GCUGUGUGGAUGGGAGAUGGCCCUGUAAAAGUUCCAACGACGGCAUAAGAUAAGAACCUUAUAAUUUCAUAAGCCUACGGAAAAAGAUGACAAAAACGUACAAAUGUCAAACUCAUCCAAUUUAAUGGUCUAAGGGAUUAAUAAGCAUGGAAUAUUACAAAAUUAAACCAAUAAACUUAAAGUAGGUCGUGAAAGACAGAAAUUCCUCAACGUCCUAAUUUCUUAUUCAAACAGGAUAAUUUUUAAUGUAGGUUUUCCAAAAUCUGAAGUCAUCCGAAGUAUCCCCGAGAAAAAAUAAAUUAGAAGUUACUCUUCGGAAACCAUGUUAUAAAAAUCAGCUCAAAGUGAGAAGAUAUUGAUGCGAGUAAUCGAGCAUACGGUCGAAUUUUUAUAGCCGGUCACCUCAUUUUCAUAUUUAGACGCAUUCGCUAAAGACAUAAAAUUUAUUCAACAUAGAAAGUCCGUAUAGCCGAAAACGGGCAAAGUGAGAUUUAUGAGGUGUCAAGCCUACGUAGGAGGAUAGUAGUUAGCUUGGGUACACCGUAAGCUUAUGAACGUAUACAUUGUGCAGUUCUCAGGAAUCUAUGAAUACAUAUAGUUAGAUUGCCAGCAUGUUAUUAUAUUUUAUUGCACACCUGUUUAAAUAAAAUUUCGUAUGUAGGUUAAAUUCUUCAGAACCUAUCAAAAACUACCAUGAAAUCGUUCCCUCGUAUUCUCAGAAUUUCUUGUGCUGCUCUCAUAUCUGUCCAAGGGGAACCUUUGCGGGAUUGCUUCCGGUGGGGUACCGGAGUGGUUUAAUUCAGCCGGAUAUGCCCAGCCUAGUUCGGAUAUUGACCUAGCAUCAAGGGAAAUUGGUCCUCUUUUGAAGACAGGAGAAACUUCAAUAACCAACCAGUCGUAUUACACUAUUCUCGAGACUACCCCAAAGGUCACGGGCAACCGUACAUUUCUAAACCUCAAAGGUGUCUUCCUCAGAGCAAAGGGCGGUAUUGGGAACCAACUCUAUCAAUACGCAUGUCACUACGCGCUAGCUCGGAAGCAUAACGCACCCCUCUAUAUCAAGCUUUCAAAUUCCGAACGUAGUCAACUUGGCCAAAAGAGAAAACGAAACCUGGCCGUUGAUGAUCGUUCUUUUGUCCUAGAUGCAUUUAAUGUCCCAUUAUUCUCCUGGAACACCAUUGACGACACUUGGAUCCUACCAAAAACUUUGAACGCUACCGACUCUGACAUACUUCUUGGAAUUUACAAUUCUACCCGAUUUCAAAAUUCCCUCGUCACUGGGAAGGAUUACUGCCUGUCUGCAUCUUACUUUGCCCCAUACCAAUAUGAAUUGUGGGAUCUAUUCACUUUGAAAGUGGACGAUGUUUUAACGGAGGCGGCUAAAUCCUGGGAAAAAUUUAUCAUCGAAGAGGGAAAUAUAAGGGAAACUGUUGCAGUGCAUAUUAGACGCGGGGAUUUUGUCAACUUCGCAACCCCAUUAACAUUCUAUGUUACCGCGAUGUCCAGGAUGCGGCAGGAAUUGAUGCGUCGAAAUAAUAAACAUGUUCUAAUUUCUUUAUUUAUAUUUUCCGACGAUGUAACUUAUGUAAGAGACGAAUUUCUGACAAUUUUAAACGGGACGGAAGGAACUAUUAAUGUUCACAUAGUUUCAGAUCCGACCAAACUGACAAGUUUGGAAGAGUUUUAUCUUGCUUCGAAAUGUAAAAAUUUUAUCAUUCCUAAUAGCACUUUCGGGUGGUGGGUAGCUUAUCUCUCCGAGUAUCCGGACAAAAUUGUGUAUGCGGCACAUGUGACGACGGAGCAUGUAAGAUGGCUUUACCGUGAGGCUAAUAUUAAUGUUCAGUCGUUUUACUUAUGGCAAUACAACCGCAUUUAUUAUCCGAGUGGGUGGAACGGUAUUUACCCAGUUCCAUAAUAAAGUAAUAUUACUAAAUGUAUAAUUUUACGAAACAGUGAAAAUGAAUAAACUUUAUACCAUGACUCUAUGACUUUA